GACGAACGCUGGCGGCGUGCCUAAUACAUGCAAGUCGAACGCAGUGGGGACGGGUGAGUAACACGUGGGUAACCUCCCAUCAGAGGGGAUAACACUUGGAAACAGGUGCUAAACCGAUACUGAUGGAUGGACCCCCGGUGCAUUAGCUAGUUGGUGAGGUAACGGCUCACCAAGGCCACGAUGCAUAGCCGCCCUGAGAGGGUGUUCGGCCAAACUGGGACUGAGACACGGCCAAGACUCCUACGGGGGGCAGCAUAAGGGAAUCUUCGGAAAUGGACGAAAGUCUAACCGGGAAACGCCGCGUGAGUAAAGAAGGUUUUCGGAUCGUAAAACUCUGUUGUUAGAGAAGCGGUAUCUAACCAGAAAGCCACGGCUAACUACGUGCCAGCAGCCGCGGUAAUUC
rnacentral:rRNA from 1 species